UGGGGAAUUUUGGACAAUGGGCGCAAGCCUGAUCCAGCCAUGCCGCGUGCGGGAAGAAGGCCUUCGGGUUGUAAACCGCUUUUGUCAGGGAAGAAAUCUUCUGAGUUAAUACCUCGGGAGGAUGACGGUACCUGAAGAAUAAGCACCGGCUAACUACGUGCCAGCAGCCGCGGUAAUACGUAGGGUGCAAGCGUUAAUCGGAAUUACUGGGCGUAAAGCGUGCGCAGGCGGUUUUGUAAGACAGAGGUGAAAUCCCCGGGCUCAACCUGGGAACUGCCUUUGUGACUGCAAGGCUUGAGUGCGGCAGAGGGGGGAUGGAAUUCCGCGUGUAGCAGUGAAAUGCGUAGAUAUGCGGAGGAACACCGAUGGCGAAGGCAAUCCCCUGGGCCUGCACUGACGCUCAUGCACGAAAGCGUGGGGAGCAAACAGGAUUAGAUAGCCCUGGUAGUCCACGCCCUAAACGAUGUCAACUGGUUGUUGGGAAGGUUCCUUCUCAGUAACGUAGCUAACGCGUGAANUUGACCGCCUGGGGAGUACGGCCGCAAGGUUG
rnacentral:rRNA from 1 species